CUCAGAGAUGAGACUGUGCCUUCGGGAACUGUGAGACAGGUGCUGCAUGGCUGUCGUCAGCUCGUGUUGUGAAAUGUUGGGUUAAGUCCCGCAACGAGCGCAACCCUUAUCCUUUGUUGCCAGCGAUUCGGUCGGGAACUCAAAGGAGACUGCCAGUGAUAAACUGGAGGAAGGUGGGGAUGACGUCAAGUCAUCAUGGCCCUUACGAGUAGGGCUACACACGUGCUACAAUGGCAUAUACAAAGAGAAGCGACCUCGCGAGAGCAAGCGGACCUCAUAAAGUAUGUCGUAGUCCGGAUUGGAGUCUGCAACUCGACUCCAUGAAGUCGGAAUCGCUAGUAAUCGUAGAUCAGAAUGCUACGGUGAAUACGUUCCCGGGCCUUGUACACACCGCCCGUCACACCAUGGGAGUGGGUUGCAAAAGAAGUAGGUAGCUUAACCUUCGGGAGGGCGCUUACCACUUUGUGAUUCAUGACUGGGGUGAAGUCGUAACAAGGUAGGCGUAGUGCU
rnacentral:rRNA from 1 species